rnacentral:rRNA from 1 species
AUGAGCUCCGAGCAGCAGUACGCAUUCAAGCACCCCAAUAGCAUAACGAGGGCCACCGUUUUUGCAAGGAUUCAGGAAGAAGAGCUUGAAAAUCAGCGUUCCAAGUCACGACCGGCGCAUACGGGCAGAUCAUCACCACUGCUCUAUACGGCACCACCGCCAGGAAGACCACCAGCAGCACCAUCCACAGGGCCUGCGGUGCCUUUGACUCGACCGAUGGCAGCAGCCAAACCAGCUACAGAUGACUUUGGCAGAGAGCGAAAGUUACGCGAUUACAGACGCCAACAUGGUCUUUGUUUUCGCUGUGGGGAGAAGUACUCCAGGGAACACCAAUGCAAGCGCUCAGCCCAGUUAUUGACAAUUGAGGUAGGGGAGUAUGGGGAAGUUCUCUCCGAUGACGCGGUACGCGCCCUGGAACUACUAGAUGAGCCGGCAGCCACAGAAUCAGCCUGCUGCUUACUGUCAGCCAACGCGGUGGAAGGCACCGAAUCCGCGGAAACGAUCAGACUUUGCGCAACCGUUGGCGAUCAGACAAUGUUGUUGCUGGUUGAUUCCGGGAGUACACACAGUUUCGUCAAUGCCUCCUUCGCCAAACGCAUCACUGCAGCGACCAAGCCCAUACCUACAGUAGCUGUCAGAGUGGCUAAUGGACAACAGCUAUAG